rnacentral:rRNA from 1 species
UACGGGGGGGGCAAGCGUUGUUCGGAAUUACUGGGCGUAAAGGGCGUGUAGGCGGCCAACUAAGUCCGACGUGAAAUCCCCAGGCUUAACCUGGGAACUGCGUCGGAUACUGGAUGGCUUGAAUCCGGGAGAGGGAUGCAGAAUUCCAGGUGUAGCGGUGAAAUGCGUAGAUAUCUGGAGGAAUACCGGUGGCGAAGGCGGCAUCCUGGAUCGGCAUUGACGCUGAAGCGCGAAAGCUAGGGGAGCAAACGGG